GACGAACGCUGGCGGCGUGCUUAACACAUGCAAGUCGAACGGAAAGGCCCUGCUUUUGUUGGGUGCUCGAGUGGCGAACGGGUGAGUAACACGUGGGUAACCUGCCUUGUACUUUGGGAUAACUUCUGGAAACUGGGGCUAAUACCGGAUAGUAGUUCCUGCUGCAUGGUGGUGGCUGGAAAGUUUCGGUGGUAGGGGUUGGACGCGCGGCUUGUCUGCUUGUUGGUGGGGGUGUGGCUAACCAAGGCUUUGACGGGUAGCCGUACUGAGAGGGUGACAGGCCACAGAGGGACUGGGGUACGGCCAAGACGGCUACGGGAGGCAGCAGUGGGAGAUAGUGCACAAUGGGCGGAAGCAGGAUACAGGAACGUCGGGUGCGAGAGGACGGCUGUCGGGGUGUAAACCGCGUUCGAGUGGGACGAAGCGUGAGUGACGGUAACGUGUAAAGAAGCACCGGCUAACUACGUG
rnacentral:rRNA from 1 species